rnacentral:lncRNA from 9 species
CUCCAUCUGGCACUGUGGCUGAAGACAGCAUUAUUAAGUCAUCCAGGUGGUAGUCUUGAAGGAAAGCUGUAUGUGAAAUGGGGGAGGGCAAUGAAGAGCUGGACUCACAUGCAUAAGCCAGAACCCACAAAUGCAACCUGGAACCCUCCACAUCUGUCUCUCACCACCUAAAAUCCAUGGUGGCAUGAAGAAAGCGCUGGUAUCCUCUAUCGCAGAGCUGCAUGUAGGUGAGAACCUAUGGGAGCCAGAGAAGUUGGAGGUCCAGGUGCUGUGCUGAGUCAGCAAGGUGAGACGGCAUGUUGAGGGCAGUAGGUGUUGUCUGCCACAGAGCUUGGAGCCCUACCUAUCCCAACCCUCAGAGCAUAAAAUUGGCUUCUGUCUCCCUUGCAUCUUCCAAAUCACACACACUCCUCCUGUGACCAACCCUAAUAAGGAACCAGACAGGGAAGGGAAUCUGGGAAAUGUAGUUCCAGUUUAACUAAAUUCAUGUGGCACAUAACCACCACAGAGAGUAAAUAGCAAUUCAGUGAUGAAAAUGCACUUUGUUGGUACACUGACCGACUGACACCUGGAAACUCCUUUGUUUUUCUCCAUCUAGGCUUCUCUGGAUCAACAGCUGCCAAUCCAAAAUUCAGCAUCCCUUGCCCCUGCUUCCUGUUGUCCCCUGUUUGGGUCACCUGCCAGGACAUGAAAUCUAAGUGUACCCUUUAUUUCUAUCAUCUCAAACUGCAGGUGGAAGAAAUGCCCUCUGGUGGCCACAGCAUCUCUUUGGCCCUCUCCUCCAGCUCACAAUUUACCAAGGAAAGGAUGUCCUAACAGAGAGAGUAAUUUAAUCUGAAUUGCUCUUUAAUCCCUGGGCCUCUCUUGACUGCCUGUCAAAAUAAAGUGUGUUUUUUCAGUUGCAUGGUCUAUCGGGCUUUCAUUAAUCUACAAUGUUUUAAUAUCCAUUAGUGAACAUUAAUCUAAAAGGAUAGAUUUGGGGCAGAGAUCCCAUUCCUCUUGUCUUUCCUAAUUUUCUAUCAUCAGAAUAAGUAUUUUUCUCCCUAUGAAUCUCCAAAAAGGACAAAAUGACCUGAAGAGUAUUUGUCUCUCUUUCCAGAUUGACUGAUGGCUAUUUGCACCACUCUAGAUGGAUUCGAAGUUUCUUCUUGCCAAAUGCAUCACUCAAGUUUAACUUCAUCUCAUACUAAGUCAUGAACCCCAUUCUUCACUAAUGACCAUCCACGUACUCCUUUUUUGGGGAUACCUUCUUCUCAUUUGCUCUUUUUGUUUCCUAUACUUUUGCUCAUCACUGUAGCUCUGAACCUUGGAAAGGGCCAUGGAAUCUAACCUGCAGAAGCAAAGUGUCUGACUCUGACAUCAUUCUGGAGUCAUCGAAAAUUCAAUAGCUGUAGCAAGAUUAUUUUGUGUGACACCUAUAUCUCCCCCAGCACAAUCUGGAGCCUUGCCAUCGCUGAGAUUAUAAUUCUGAGCCAAUCCUUUAUGAUUAAGGUUUAACUUCAGAUGUGAAACACUUUCAGAAAAUGUGGACUCUUCUGUGAUUUGGGAGUGGAAAUCCUUUAUCCAAUAUGCAUAAAUUUACUAAGCCUGAGAAAUUCAGUGCUAUGUAGUCAGGCUUGCAAUCUUCAUCUAGGAAUUCAGGAGAUUAUCUUCUCUAUGUAAAGAGUUCCCCAUGUUCACAUUCCCUUCAGAGAAGAUUUAAUUUGGUCUUAGAUGGGCACAAGCAAAGUAUAUUCUGAACCUCACACUUAAUCUCUUAACUGAUGUGAAUUACAAAUGUAUAAAUCACUUCAAUUCACUUUCUAGAUCAUUCAGGAUACAUCCCUGGAUGAUGUAUUGCGUGGAGAGGUUCUAGUUCCUUGCUCUUGAACCUGGAGACCAGCAGGACAAUGUUGGUGAGUGUCUCCUAGUGGGAAACCAGGUAGGACUAAAGAGCACAAGUAUCCCUGGGGCCAGGAAUGCUAUUUGUCUUGGCCAAUGGUGCCAAAUGGAAUAACAGGAUUUGGGGUCUAAAUUUAUAGAGCUUUUCAUUUUUUUCAAGAGAAGCCAAAAAUCCACAAUUUUAUGCAAAAUCUUCCAAAUCUAAAAGUAUAUUUAAAAGAUGUUAAACCCUGUGUAGGUCAGUAAAAUCUGUGUAGAGGCAGAAGCUGGCUCAGAGGCUCCCAGUUUUAUAAUCUCAUUCUGAGUGCCUUUGCAGAAAGGCUGGGUGCCUAGAAAUGACUUGUCAACAGAAAUUUGAGUUCAGUCAUCUCUGCUAUGUUUAAUCCACAUGUAUUUCUAUGUGAAGGUACUAGAGAGAAGUCAAAGAAGAAGGAAACUAGAGCCACCCUGGAUGAAAUGCCUGGAUGUACAGAAUUACGUCAUAAGAAAUGCCAGAGGAAGUUCUUCAGACCAGAGUAAAAGGACAUGAGAUGGAAACUUAGAUCCACAGGGAAGAAUAAACAGCACUGAAAAUGGUGACUAUAGCCAAAAACAAGACUAUCGCCUUUUUGUUAAUGUCUUUAAAAAGCAGCUGACUAUUGUAUAUGUAUAUUUUUAUAUAUAUAAUAUGUAUGUAUUUCAGAGUUUAUAACAUAUGUAUGUAUAAAAAUAGACAAUAACAAUUACACAAAGAGUGUGGGAAGAAAAUAACUAAAAUCAAUCUGUCUCAGGGUCUUAUAUUUUACAAGAAGUGUUAUAAUAAUAACACUAAAUAGACUGGGAUAAUAUACUGAGAUAUAUAUAUAAUUCUUAGAAUAAAGACUUAAAAAAUACUACAAGAUAUAGGGAAGAUCCAAUAGAGGAAUGAAAAUGAAAUAAUAAAAAUAGAUUUGAUCACCCAAAGAAAGCAAGAAAGAAGAAACAAAGGAGCAAAAAACAGAUAUACAGGUAGAAAACAAAUAGCAAAAUCCAGAUUACACCCAAUGAUAUCCCCAAAUCCAUUAAAUAUAAAUAGAGAAACAAUUCUUAUUAAAAGGCAAAGAUUGUCAGACUGGAUUAAAAAAAAUAUGAAUAACAAAAACAAAAAUUUAAGACACACCUGCAUGCCAUCUACAAGAGAAUAACUUUAAAUGUGAAGGUAAAGAUAGGUUAAAAAUUAAAGGCUAGGGAGUUCCCAUUGUGGCUUAGGGGUUUAAGAACUGAACUAGUAUCCAUGAGGAUUUGAGUUUGAUCCCUUGCCUUGCUUAGUGGGUUAAGGAUCUGCCAUUGCCACAAGCUGCAGUGUAGAUCACAGAUGCAGCUUAGAUCUGACAUGCUAUAGUAGAGGCUGGCAGCUGCAGCUCCAAUUUGACUCUUAGCCUGGAAACUUCUAUAUACCACAGGUGCAGACCUAAAAAAAAAGGUGGGAAAAGACAGACUACGAAAACUCAACUUAAGGAAACAGGUAUGACUUUACUAAGACCAGAUAAAAUAAAUAUCAAGAUAAAGAGGUAAAGAGGGACACUCCAUGGUGAAUAAUGAAUCCAUUCAUUAGGAAGAUUUAACAACUCAAUGAAUAUGCACCUAUAACAGAGUCUCAUAAUACAUAGAGCAAAACUAAUAGAACUAAAACAAGGCAGAUAUAGAUCCACAAUCUUCACUGGAGAUUGCAAUAGUAUGAGUAUAGAGCAUCACAGCAUCACUCCUUUCAGGGAAGACAUUCCUUAUGACCUUAAUAAGUGAGGCAUGGGUUCUGAGCAUAGGCUGGCUGUAGGGCUAGAGGAAGUUCUUGGAAUCCCCUGCCUUACAAGGUGUUUAUUGCUUUAGCUGCUGGACCAAAGGAGAGGGAUCAGCUAUGCCAGGUGUGGGAAGCUUAGAACAAUACAUAUUUACUAACAGGCAUAUUUCAGUAUUUUACCAGCUUUCUCAAGAAGGUACUUUAUUAGACUGAAAGUUCCUUGAAAACAAGAUCUGGUUGAUUUGCCCAUGUAGCUCUCACGAAACGGGGUACAUACAGAGCCUUCCUCAUAACAGAAACAUCAUAAAAAUCAGUUCAGUGAAAGAAAUAUAAAUAAUUCCCUUCUUUCUUUCCUGGCACAGGCACCCUUUGGCAGCACCUCCAUCUACAUUCAGAAAGAUGACUCUCUUGCACUUGAAUUCUUUCAUCACAAUAGUUAAAGCCAAAACUAAACAAGACAUAUUGGGAUGCUGGCACCUUCUGUUGAACAAGUUGUAUAUAAAAUGCUGCUGAAAAGUAGCAUAUGUUUUUGAUAACUGUAAAACACAUUAUAUUUAAGAACCAAGAAGGAAUGUAAAUCCUGAAUGUUAAUGUGCUUAAAGUCUUAUUUAAAUUAAAAGUUGAUCUUUGACGUGACUUGGUUAUUUCCAAAACAUGAGAAUUCCUUUCAGGGUCUCUUCUGCGGGGGCUGCACAGGUAGAAUUAGCUUUGCUCCUAGUGCCACUUUAACUAGGGUCUAGAGGUAAGGAUCAAGAUGCCAACUACUGGCCCAGCACUGACUCACUGUGAGCCACAGAAAUACAGCCCAUAACUCCGCAGUCCUGUUCACUUAGCAUGUUAUCUGAAGGGAAUCAAGGAGGAACCACACCUCAGGGUGGUCCACAGAAGCAGGAAGGGAGGGGUCUGUAUCAGCUUGGAUCCUUUCAUCCGCCCUUCCUCAGUGGGUCCAGGCUCACUCCAAGUGGCACUGACUACCCAGCACCUCUGGGCUGUACCAUGAGGCCCUCUAGUGUUCACUCUGGGAUCCAGGCCCCAUGACCUUCAAAGAAUGGGAGGGUGGCUAAGAUGAGUGGGAGACUUAGAGGGAAUGGAGGUGGUCCAGGCAACCUAGGAACAUGCCCAUGCUUUAACCCCAUUACACCCCUGUGCCUGCUGUCUCCAUGGGUCCAGAAGUGACACAGCCCCAGCAACGGUGUUGUCACAAAGCUUUGAGUUCCCGUCAUGGCUCAGCAGAAACAAAUAUGACUAGCAUCCAUGAGGACGCAGGUUCUAUCCCUGACCUCACUCACUCGGUUAAGGAUCUGGCAUUGACAUGAGCUGUGGUAUAGGUCACAGACGAGGCUCGGAUCUGGCAUUGCUGUGGCUGUGGUGUAGGCCAGCAUCUACAGCUCUGAUUCAACCCCUAGCCUGGGAAUCUCCAUAUGCCA